AUUGAACGCUGGCGGUAUGCUUAACACAUGCAAGUCGAACGGUAACAGGUCUAGCUUGCUAGAUGCUGACGAGUGGCGGACGGGUGAGUAACGCGUAGGAACCUGUCUAUGAGAGUGGGACAACCCGGGGGAAACUCGAGCUAAUACCACAUACGUUCUAAGGAAGAAAGGCUGGGGUAACCCAGUCGCUCAUAGGGGGGCCUGCGUUGGAUUAGCUAGUUGGUGGGGUAAAGGCCUACCAAGGCGACGAUCCAUAGCUGUUCUGAGAGGAAGAUCAGCCACACUGGGACUGAGACACGGCCCAGACUCCUACGGGAGGCAGCAGUGGGGAAUAUUGGACAAUGGGCGCAAGCCUGAUCCAGCAAUACCGCGUGUGUGAAGAAGGCCUGAGGGUUGUAAAGCACUUUCAGCGAGGAGGAAGGUAGUAAUGUUAAUAGUAUUAUUGCUUGACGUUACUCGCAGAAGAAGCACCGGCUAACUCUGUGCCAGCACG
rnacentral:rRNA from 1 species